AACUCUUGUCACUGCUCCCAUCUCAACUCGUAAAGGAUCUAAAGCUGCACCACGUCUGACUCACUGGAAAUGAUUGGUGAUGGCAUGUAAGAGCUGCUGGGAUCAGCCAGGACAGAAACCCAGCCUUCAUCUGAAAUGCGGCUCCAGAGGCAGGAACUUGCCGACCAGCGUCACUCACAACUGCGUUAACAUUUGGUCAGGAUGCUGCCUGGCCUGCUGAAUUAUUUUUCCAGCAUUUUAUGUUUUUAUUUCUGAUCUUCAACAACUGUCAGCGUGACAAUAUGAUCUCUUCCACAACUGGGUGGCAUGACUUGAUGUGAUCUCAGAGCCGUGGGUGCAGAGAGCUGUCAGCUUUUCCAUGAAAAUCCCAAAUUGCCCUCGAGGAGCCUUGGUUUUUGACUGCUUACAACAGCCCCGGCAGAGGAGUCAUUCAAUGUAGAGUAUUCAAGGACUUCACGGACCACACAUGUCUCUUCCAACAUUUGGACACAUCUUCUCCAUGUCUAAGCUGCUGAACAUUCCAAGAGACUGAUGAGCCAUUUCAAAUAAUGUUCAUUGAUGUCUUAUGUUGAAGAAAGACACUCCAAGUUCAGAAACUUGGUUUGACAGUGGUGAUUCCACACAAUUAUGCAUCAAAUGUAGCUGGGAUUCCAGUAACUCCAGAAGCCUUCCACAAAAGCAUUCUGACCAAUAUUCAGGCCAAUGCCGCUCCUAAUGUAACCUUUAAUGUCUGGGCAUCAAAUUUCACAUGAGUAUGCUUCAGUGUACCCCGUCAGGAAUUUUACUAUGUUAAAUGUACAAUGUGUUCAGGAUGAGUUGCCUGCGAUCAGGAAAAGGAUAGAAAGAUAGAGGCCCUAUCAACAUGAUGAACUAUUUUUUUUUUUAAAUGAUGCUUGUUGUAUUUUGGCACUUUAGAGAAGAUUAUUUUGGGAUGGUAGGGGAAAUUGAAUGUUAUACUGGAUUAAGUUUAAGGUAACUGUGCCAAACCACUGAACUAUGAUCUCACCACUG